GUGAAUCAUCAAAUUUUUGAACGCAAAUUGCACUCUCCUCGGAGAGUAUGCCUGUUUGAGGGUCAGCCUAUAAAAAUCGACAUCGUUGCGGUUUCGCGGGGGCGUUUGUCGGAAAUUGGUGCAUCUUAAUUCCUUUUGAUUUAAGCGCCUUAAAAUUUUCUUUUGGGUCCAUGAACGUUACUAAGAUCUAUUUCUUGACACGUUUAAGGUAUCGAUUUUUCUUAGACGUGACCAUCA
rnacentral:misc_RNA from 1 species